GCGGGUGUAGUUGAGUGGUACAAUGCGUCCUUGCCAAGGAUGAGCCGGGGGUCCGAUUCCCCUCACCCGCUCCA
rnacentral:tRNA from 4 species